UACGGAGGGAGCUAGCGUUGUUCGGAAUUACUGGGCGUAAAGCGCGCGUAGGCGGUUUUUUAAGUCAGAGGUGAAAGCCCAGUGCUCAACACUGGAACUGCCUUUGAAACUAGAAAACUUGAAUCUUGGAGAGGUCAGUGGAAUUCCGAGUGUAGAGGUGAAAUUCGUAGAUAUUCGGAAGAACACCAGUGGCGAAGGCGGCUCACUGGCCCGGUACUGACGCUGAGGUGCGAAAGCGUGGGGAGCAAACAGGG
rnacentral:rRNA from 1 species